GUGAGGUAGAGCGACUGAUAAGAUGCGAGGGCUUCACCGCCUAUCAAGUCUUGAUAAACUCCGAAUGCGCAGUAGUUCGAUCCCAGGAGUGAGGGCAUGGGUGCUAAGGUCCAUGUCCUAAAGGAGAAGAAUCCGGACCAUCAGCUAAGGUCCCGAAAUAAUUGCUAAGUUGAACUAACGAAGUCAGAUUGCUAAGACAGCUAGGAUGUUGGCUUGGAAGCAGCCAUUCAUUUAAAGAGUGCGUAACAGCUCACUAGUCGAGGAGUUUGGCGUGGAUAAUAAUCGGGCAUUAAGCAAUUUACCGAAGCUAUGGGAUCAGUAAUGAUCGGUAGGGGAGCAUUCCACUCUGCGUCGAAGGUGAAGCGUGAGCUUUGCUGGAGCGUGUGGAAAAGCAAAUGUAGGUAUAAGUAACGAUAAAGGGGGUGAGAAACCCCCUCGCCGAAAGACUAAGGUUUCCUGAUCAACGCUAAUCGGAUCAGGGUUAGUCGGGUCCUAAGGCUCAGCCGAACGGUGAGGCCGAUGGCAGAACAGGUUAAUAUUCCUGUACUACCUUAAGGAGUGACGUGGAGACGGAGCAGUGAUAGCGCCGCGGACUGACGGAAUAGUCCGUUGAAGGGUGUAGAUGUUGAUCUUUGCAGGCAAAUCCACAAAGAGAGUCGAACCUGAUAGUAUGGAACGUUCUUCGGAACAAUCCAAUAGUGCGUGUAAGCAUACUCCCAAGAAAAUCCGCUAAACUUAAUCUUUAAGGUACCCGUACCGCAAACGGACACACGUAGUCGGGUUGAAUAUACUAAGGCGCUUGAGUGAUUCACGGUUAAGGAACUAGGCAAACUGACCCUGUAACUUCGGGAUAAAGGGUCCCUCCUCGCAAGAGAGGGCGCAGAGAAUAGGUCCAGGCAACUGUUUAACAAAAACACAGGGCUGUGCGAAAUAGAAAUAUGAAGUAUACAGCCUGACACCUGCCCGGUGCUGGAAGGUUAAGAGGAGAUGUCAUCGCAAGAGAAGCAUUGAAUUGAAGCCCCAGUAAACGGCGGCCGUAACUAUAACGGUCCUAAGGUAGCGAAAUUCCUUGUCGGGUAAGUUCCGACCUGCACGAAUGGUGUAAUGAUCUGGACACUGUCUCAACCGUGAGCUCAGUGAAAUUGUAGUAUCGGUGAAGAUGCCGAUUACCCGCGAUGGGACGAAAAGACCCCGUGAACCUUUACUAUAGCUUAACAUUGAAUUUGGGUAAUUGAUGUGUAGGAUAGGCCGGAGACUUUGAAGCAGGUACGCCAGUAUUUGUGGAGUCGCUGUUGAAAUACGGCCCUUUGAUUAUUUGAGUUCUAACUCGUAGAUGCGAGGACACUGUUUGGUGGGUAGUUUGACUGGGGUGGUCGCCUCCAAAAGUGUAACGGAGGCUUCUAAAGGUGCCCUCAGGACGAUUGGUAACCGUCCGUAGAGUGUAAUGGCAUAAGGGCGCUUGACUGGGAGACAGACAAGUCGAUCAGGUAGGAAACUAGAGCAUAGUGAUCCGGUGUUUCCGUAUGGA
rnacentral:rRNA from 1 species